AUUGAAUGCUGGCGGCAUGCCUUACACAUGCAAGUCGAACGGCAGCACGGGUGCUUGCACCUGGUGGCGAGUGGCGAACGGGUGAGUAAUACAUCGGAACGUACCUUAUCGUGGUGGAUAACGCAGCGAAAGCUGUGCUAAUACCGCAUACGCCCUGAGGGGGAAAGCGGGGGAUCGAAAGACCUCGCGCGACUAGAGCGGCCGAUGCCUGAUUAGCUUGUUGGGGGGGUAAAAGCCCACCAAGGCGACGAUCAGUAGCUGGUCUGAGAGGACGAUCAGCCACACUGGGACUGAGACACGGCCCAGACUCCUACGGGAGGCAGCAGUGGGGAAUUUUGGACAAUGGGGGCAACCCUGAUCCAGCAAUGCCGCGUGAGUGAAGAAGGCCUUCGGGUUGUAAAGCUCUUUUGUCAGGGAAGAAACACCGGCUCUAACACAGUCCGGGAAUGACGGUACCUGAAGAAUAAGCACCGGCUAACUACGUGCCAGCCGCCGCAGUAA
rnacentral:rRNA from 1 species